UCGGGAAUUUUGGGCAAUGGGGGAAACCCUGACCCAGCAACGCCGCGUGAAGGAUGAAGUAUUUCGGUAUGUAAACUUCGAAAGAAUAGGAAGAAUAAAUGACGGUACUAUUUAUAAGGUCCGGCUAACUACGUGCCAGCAGUCGCGGUAAUACGUAGGGACCAAGCGUUGUUCGGAUUUACUGGGCGUAAAGGGCGCGUAGGCGGCAUGACAAGUCACUUGUGAAAUCUCUGGGCUUAACCCAGAACGGCCAAGUGAUACUGUCGCGCUAGAGUGCAGAAGGGGCAAUCGGAAUUCUUGGUGUAGCGGUGAAAUGCGUAGAUAUCAAGAGGAACACCUGAGGUGAAGACGGGUUGCUGGGCUGACACUGACGCUGAGGCGCGAAAGCCAGGGGAGCAAACGGGAUUAGAUACCCGUGUAGUCCCUGAGCGGGCUGGCAAGGCGCAU
rnacentral:rRNA from 1 species